rnacentral:misc_RNA from 1 species
UUCUUCUCAGACGAAGUUUCAGAGAUCGGAUUCUCCUUCUCUUCCCCCUGAGCUCUCUCAGACUGCUUUUCCAUUUCCCUCUCUCGCUCACUCUCUCUCUCUUUGGAAGUUGUAGAAAAUAGAGAAAGAUGGGUGUGAAGCAAGUUCUAAGAGCCAUGGAUGCUUUUCCACGCGCGGAAGAGCAUUUGUUACAAAAGACUAAAUCUGGCGCCUUUGUGUCCAUUGUGGGGCUGGUUAUCAUGUCAACAUUAUUUCUGCAUGAACUGAGUUACUAUCUUAAUACAAUUACAGUUCACCAGAUGGCUGUUGACUUGAGACGUGGAGAGACUCUUCCCAUACACAUAAAUAUGACAUUCCCCUCUUUACCUUGUGAUGUUCUAAGUGUGGAUGCUAUUGAUAUGUCGGGGAAGCAUGAAGUAGACCUUGAUACAAACAUAUGGAAGCUUCGCUUGAACAGUGAUGGCCACAUUACUGGAACUGAGUAUCUGUCAGACCUUGUGGAGAAGGAACAUAAACAUGAUGAUCAUAAAGACCAUCACGAUGAUUCGGAUAAUAAAACCCAUAUGCAAGGGUUCGAUCAAGAGGCUGAAAAUUUGAUUAAAAAGGUCAAGCAAGCAUUGGCUCAUGGGGAGGGAUGCAGAGUCUAUGGUGUUUUGGAUGUCCAACGUGUUGCUGGAAAUUUCCAUAUAUCUGUUCAUGGGUUAAACAUUUUUGUUGCUCAAAUGAUUUUUGGAGGUACUACUCAUGUCAAUGUGAGCCAUAUCAUCCAUGACUUAUCAUUUGGGCCCAAAUAUCCUGGUGGCCACAACCCACUUGAUGGAACAGAACGAAUUCUGCGUGGAGCAAGUGGAACAUUCAAAUAUUAUAUUAAGAUUGUUCCCACUGAAUAUAGGUACCUGUCAAAAGAAGUUUUGCCAACUAAUCAAUUCUCUGUAUCGGAAUACUUUUCUCCCAUCAAUGAGUUUGAUCGGACAUGGCCAGCUGUAUAUUUCUUAUAUGAUUUGUCACCAAUUACUGUGACCAUCAGAGAAGAACGUCGCAAUUUUCUGCACUUUAUCACUCGGCUAUGUGCAGUACUUGGUGGUACUUUUGCCUUGACAGGCAUGCUAGAUAAAUGGAUGUUCAGGUUCCUUGAAGCAGUUAUGAAGAAAAACAGCAGAAGCCUUGUGCGGUAAUUUAAGGUUAUCUAGUGACAUGUAGCCUACAAAGUAAUAUUCAGUCAGGGAUUUUGCACUAUACAUGGAAAAUUUUAGCGGUGAACAAUGGAGAUCAAUCAAUGAGGCUUGUUUAUAUUAUGUUUCCUGUGUAUUUCUUUUCCUCACUUUUUUAUCCUUUAUUUUUUAUAGCACUUUACACAAAUAUACUGCACUGUACCCAAGCCAUUCUAGCAGUCCGAGAAAAGUUUUAC